AGAGGGGGGGAAAAAAAACCAGAACCCUUUCAUCGUGUUGGGGUUUUCUUCGCUGUUUUGUUUCACUUAAGACAUCACUCAGGAGCAAAUGGGACAUGAUGUAUGUCUGCAUUCCUCGGCCCGAGGAAUUCUUGGUGUUCGGGUUUCGCUGCCUUUAAGUGACAGGAAGCAGCACUUCACCCUUAUUUUUGCAGCAUUGUCUGAGAAUUAACCACAACAUGAUGGUAAUGUACAUUUUUUUUUUUUUAUGCUUCACAGGGGUUUGCUUUUAUUAGCCAUUUCUUGUGGUUUCGCUUGUUGGCGCGUUGCAGAUCCUCCCAAUGAUAACUCUGGCUAUUGUGUUUCAUCUGUGCUUGGAUUCAAACACGAAUUUCUUCUGAAGUCUUCUUGCUAAACUGUGGCCCCCUCAAAGAUUCCCUUCCAAGAAAUCAGCUUUGCCCCGA